AUUGAACGCUGGCGGCAUGCUUUACACAUGCAAGUCGAACGGUAACAGGCCGCAAGGUGCUGACGAGUGGCGAACGGGUGAGUAAUGCAUCGGAACGUGCCCAGUCGUGGGGGAUAACUACUCGAAAGAGUAGCUAAUACCCCAUACGAUCUAUGGAUGAAAGCGGGGGACCGUAAGGCCUCGCGCGAUUGGGGCGGCCGAUGUCAGAUUAGGUAGUUGGUGGGGUAAAGGGCCACCAAGCCAACGAUCUGUAGCUGGUCUGAGAGGACGAGCAGCCACACUGGAACUGAGACACGGCCCAGACUCCUACGGGAGGCAGCAGUGGGGAAUUUUGGACAAUGGGCGCAAGCCUGAUCCAGCAAUGCCGCGUGCAGGAAGAAGGCCUUCGGGUUGUAAACUGCUUUUGUACGGAAAGAAACGGCUCUGGUUAAUACCCGGGGCUAAUGACGGUACCGUAAGAAUAAGCACCGGCUAACUACGUG
rnacentral:rRNA from 1 species